rnacentral:rRNA from 1 species
AGUGAACGCUGGCGGCAGGCCUAACACAUGCAAGUCGAGCGGCAGCGGGUCCCCGCGAGGGGAUGCCGGCGAGCGGCGGACGGGUGAGGAACACAUCGGAAUCUGCCUGGUUGUGGGGGAUAACGUAGGGAAACUUACGCUAAUACCGCAUGCGACCCUGAGUCGACGGACUGGGGGUGAAAGUGAGGGACCUUCGGGCCUCACGCGACCAGAUGAGCCGAUGUCGGAUUAGCUAGUUGGCGGGGUAACGGCCGCCAAGGCGACGAUCCGUAGCUGGUCUGAGAGGAUGAUCAGCCACACUGGGACUGAGACACGGCCCAGACUCCUACGGGAGGCAGCAGUGGGGAAUCUUGGACAAUGGGCGCAAGCCUGAUCCAGCCAUGCCGC